rnacentral:rRNA from 1 species
GACGAACGCUGGCGGCGUGCUUAACACAUGCAAGUCGAACGGUGAUGACAGGGCUUGCCUUGUCGGAUCAGUGGCGAACGGGUGAGUAACACGUGAGUAACCUGCCCCAGACUCUGGGAUAACAGUUGGAAACAGCUGCUAAUACCGGAUAUGAGACGUUCGGGCAUCCGAUGCGUCUGGAAAGUUUUUUCGGUCUGGGAUGGACUCGCGGCCUAUCAGCUUGUUGGUGAGGUAAUGGCUCACCAAGGCGACGACGGGUAGCCGGCCUGAGAGGGCGACCGGCCACACUGGGACUGAGACACGGCCCAGACUCCUACGGGAGGCAGCAGUGGGGAAUAUUGCACAAUGGGCGAAAGCCUGAUGCAGCGACGCCGCGUGAGGGAUGACGGCCUUCGGGUUGUAAACCUCUUUCAGCAGGGAAGAAGCGAAAGUGACGGUACCUGCAAAAGAAGCACCGGCUAACUACGUGCCAGCCGCCGCCGUAACAC